CACGUAGGGCGCAAGCGUUGUCCGGAAUUAUUGGGCGUAAAGAGCUCGUAGGCGGUCUGUUGCGUCCGCUGUGAAAACUCGGGGCUUAACCCCGAGCCUGCAGUGGAUACGGGCAGACUAGAGGUAGGUAGGGGAGAAUGGAAUUCCCGGUGUAGCGGUGAAAUGCGCAGAUAUCGGGAGGAACACCGGUGGCGAAGGCGGUUCUCUGGGCCAAUACUGACGCUGAGGAGCGAAAGCGUGGGGAGCGAACAGG
rnacentral:rRNA from 1 species